UCAGUCCUAAACAAGGAUCAACACAACACUACAGAUAACCUAAGGUUGCGUGGCAGAUGUUAAAAAAGGUUUUUUCUCAUUAUACUUUAAAAAAAUAAGGAUAAACAUUCCAAUAUGUUGGUCUACCGUGGCACACCUACUGCUAAAAACACAGAAGUUCGGCCUAUUUAGUUGGUUUCUAGAAGAAGUCAAUUUUACCCCGUUUAGUCCUUAUUUGAAUGUUGUGAACUACUCCAUGCGGUUUAUUUUUGAAAGGACGAUUCCCAUCCGAAAUUUGGAAGACUUGAAGAAGGGAAAAAGAUACCCGGUAUGAAUCGUUCAAAAUCAUUUGGAAAUAUUAAGACAAGGGAUUGAAAUUCAUUUGGUGUCCAUGAGUUUGAAUUGGCUGGGG
rnacentral:lncRNA from 1 species